CACAGCACUUUGCCAACUCGUAAGAGGAAGUAUAAGGUGUGACGCCUGCCCGGUGCUCGAAGGUUAAGAGGAUGCGUCAGUCGCAAGAUGAAGCGUUGAAUUGAAGCCCGAGUAAACGGCGGCCGUAACUAUAACGGUCCUAAGGUAGCGAAAUUCCUUGUCGGUUAAAUACCGACCUGCAUGAAUGGCGUAACGAGAUGGGAGCUGUCUCAACCAGAGAUUCAGUGAAAUUGUAGUGGAGGUGAAAAUUCCUCCUACCCGCGGCAAGACGGAAAGACCCCGUGGACCUUUACUACAACUUAGCACUGCUAAUGGGAAUAUCAUGCGC
rnacentral:rRNA from 1 species